AGAGGACGUUGGCGUUGGCUAUAGAGAAGUCGUCGUCGCAGAUGGUUCCCCACUCUCCCUUGUAGAAGAGCUCUAUCCGGCCCUCGUUGUGUUUGCGGGGGUAUCCGGCCAGGCGGACCUUCAGCUGCUGCGGGGUCCCGGACGGGGUCGGGGCCACGCUGGCCCUGCUGGGCACUGUGGUCUGGGUUAAACAACAAGGAAACCACAACCCAAACAGAAGGCUGACCGCUAACUGCCGCGUGUGCCUCGACUUCUCCAUCUUUUCAACUGCAAACAAAUGAAGAGAGGGAAGAAAAAAACACAAGGGUAUGGACAGAUGUUUGACUCCAGGAAAAUCUGUCUGGAGGCUGAACACAAGCGUUCAGUGGGAAGAAUCUCACACAUCUGUUCCCCUUUCCGUCUUAACCGAAACCAAAGCCGGUCCAUGGCUGUGAACCACUGGAGUCACCAGAGUCCAGCAGGCAGAGCUCCAUGCUUCCACGUGCAGCGCUGCAUAUUUACAGCUCCUCCCGUAAUGAUUUCCAUCCCUCCUCACAGCGAGCUGGGGGCCUCAGGGACAUUCGAUGGAGAAUUUUAAACGCUAUCGAAAAGUCGGCAGAGCAGCGAACCACCAGUUGCUCCGUGUGGCGACUCUUGUCGUUAAUUUGCCAGCUGUGCAGCUUUCACCCGAGGAGAAGAAGAAGGAG